UUGAAAUCUUGCAACAUACUAUUCAGUAUAUUCUAUCUACAAUGAGAAGGAUGUGGAAUGGCUUUAUGCUUCACUAAUUUCCCUGUUUGUGCACCUUUCCAUCUAAAUGAAGCUGUAUCUGAUCCUUUUUUACAUGUGGAGAAUGAAACUGGGACAUAAAAUAAUGAUGCAGCCCCAAAGCCCACUCAGUGUAAAUCAGCAAGCAUUUUGCCCGUAAUAUUGUAGAGAUUGUUAACACUACAAUGGGCUUGACUUAUACUACUGCUUACUAGGGGGUGCCAAGAAGACAAAAGCUUUUCCAGUUUAAAAAACAAUCACACAAAUUCAAGGAGUAAUCUUCUCUCUUUGUACUUACAGUUUAUAUAUAUGAUGUGCUAAGGUUCUUCAGUAAUACUUAAUUUGAUGUGCAUUUUCCUGAUUCUGGUGAAAUUAAGAGGACACUUCUAGCUUACAGAUUUUGAUGUCCUUGUACAUUUGAAGAUAGUCUCAACAGUAGGCAUGAAGGCUUAGUUACCAGGAAAACUUUGUUAUUCAAAGAAGAUACAACAAUCUGAUCUUGCAACAUUAAUAGUAGUUUUUGGCUAUUUUAGAGAGAGAGACAUGAGGAAAAAUACCCAUGUCUACAUCCCUAAAAAUCAACUACCAGACCUGGUGGUUUGUCCCCAUCCGCAAGCUGGAGUCCUUUAAAAGGAUAACAUGUCUAUCUUGAAUACUUAUUAAAAUUAUACAUGCAUCUUGGCAAGAUACUAUUUUCAGGCUCCGACUCCCUGAGGUAAUUAAUCUUCAUAGUUAACAUGUUCAGGUCAGGAGAUCGGCUUCCAAGUCAUUAUUGCCACCUUCAAUUUCCUGAGUAAGUUCCUUUGCUCUGCUGGCUUGUUGUUUCCAAUCAGUGCAGACCAGAGUGCAGACCAUCAUGCAUGUACAUGAAAUUUGUGCUGCAGCAAGCCCAAACCACAGCCCCUUAAAGCCCAUGUUAAAUUUGAAGGCCAAUAUAACUGCAACAGGCAAACCAAUUAGAUAGAAGGAGACAAAAUUGAUCUGACAGCCCAUCUUGGGCCGGGCCGAGCCUACUAAAAUUCCACAUGCCAGAUGACACCCAGGAGCUUGGAUCUCUCUCAUGCAUCAUUGGAAAUAUAAGGCUGAGGGCCAUCAGCCAUGUAGGAGUUCAGAUAUUAGCUUCUUCAUUAUUUCAUAUUCUGUGGUGGGGAUGCUACCUAGUGCAGUCUUUGUUAAAGUUAUACAUAAAAUCUCUUAAAGCUAGGGUUUAUCAGAUAUUAGAGAAACCCACAACAGUUCUAGCGACAGAAAUCAUCAAUUUUUUAAGUCUUCUGUUGGUAACUCUAAAUGUAGCAGGUAAUAAUCUUGUGAAGCGUGAAAGUACUUUUCACCUAAUAUUCAUGUUUUCUGAAUUUGUUAAAGAUGCAUCAUAAUGAUUGUAUCAUAGUAUCUUCUAUUUUUUUGUUUCACGUUUGAUUUCUGAUUUUAUAUGAGCUAAGAUGUUCAAUUAAGCACUUUUGGGAUUUUAUUGAGAACUUAAUCAAUAUCUUUCAGAUAACAAAUACCAUCCAGACGAAAUUUAUUGUUUCUUCGUCAAUCAAGUCAGGAAUGGAGUAUUUGAUAUAGGUCCAGGCCACCAAAGAUGUACUCUCAUCUUGACCUAACCAUGAGAAGAUGGGUUCCAAGUUUAACCACAAUAUGCAGAUUGGAAAGGUUGCUACCAAGAGCAGAAAUAGAGUUUUUUGGAAGGUUUGACUGAGAAUUGCCCAUCUCUUUGCUCCAUAAGCCUGACAUUUUCUUUCAACGAUGUGCUAAUUAUACAAGCAAGUAAUUUGAUUUCCAGAUCUUUGUCACUAUUGUUUUCCCCUAUAACUAGUACCAGACUUGAUUUCAUCGUCAGAUUAAAAGAUUUUUGUUGUUUAGUCCUACCUGAUGCAUGCCUUUGUAAUUUUUUUUUUUUUGCACAUUCCUUUUUGAUCGGUAUAACAUGUCUGUUGCAUAUCAGGUUCUUUACCAUAUCACGACUUGUAGGUACCUGAUUUUUGGUUUACUUCGAGAUUCAUUCUGUGAAGUAACAUCUUUUGCAUAAUGAUUGCUUUGUUUGCUUAUCUGUCAUCCCAGGUAAUCAUAAAAAAACUCGCAGAAGUAUCAUCACAGCUUCGCGCACAAGAUGUUUCAUGUUAUUCCUUGAAAUCUUGCAACAUACUAUUCAGUAUAUUCUAUCUACAAUGAGAAGGAUGUGGAAUGGCUUUAUGCUUCACUAAUUUCCCUGUUUGUGCACCUUUCCAUCUAAAUGAAGCUGUAUCUGAUCCUUUUUUACAUGUGGAGAAUGAAACUGGGACAUAAAAUAAUGAUGCAGCCCCAAAGCCCACUCAGUGUAAAUCAGCAAGCAUUUUGCCCGUAAUAUUGUAGAGAUUGUUAA
rnacentral:lncRNA from 1 species